CCUUGUACACACCGCCCGUCACACCAUGGGAAGUUGGUUUCCGACCUUAAGCCGGUGCGCCAACCGCAAGGAGGCAGCCGACCACGGUACGGGUCAGCGACUGGGGUG
rnacentral:rRNA from 1 species